UGGCGGACGGGUGAGUAACGCGUAAAGAACUUGCCCUUUAGACUGGGAUAACAGAGGGAAAACUUCUGAUAAUACUGGAUAAGUUAGUAUAUCGCAUGAUAUGCAAAUGAAAGCUACGGCACUAAAGGAGAGCUUUGCGUCCUAUUAGCUAGUUGGUAAGGUAAGAGCUUACCAAGGCGAUGAUAGGUAGCCGGCCUGAGAGGGUGGACGGCCACAAGGGGACUGAGAUACGGCCCUUACUCCUACGGGAGGCAGCAGCC
rnacentral:rRNA from 1 species